rnacentral:rRNA from 1 species
GACGAACGCUGGCGGCGUGCUUAACACAUGCAAGUCGAGCGGUAAGGCCCUUUCGGGGGUACGACGAGCGGCGAACGGGUGAGUAACACGUGGGUGACCUGCCCUCAGCUCUGGGAUAAGCCUGGGAAACCGGGUCUAAUACUGGAUAUGACUCCAUGACGCAUGUUGUGGGGUGGAAAGCCUUGUGCGGCUGAGGAUGGGCCCGCGGCCUAUCAGCUUGUUGGUGGGGUGAGGCCUACCAAGGCGACGACGGGUAGCCGGCCUGAGAGGGCGACCGGCCGCACUGGGACUGAGACACGGCCCAGACUCCUACGGGAGGCAGCAGUGGGGAAUCUUGCGCAAUGGGCGAAAGCCUGACGCAGCGACGCCGCGUGAGGGAUGACGGCCUGG